rnacentral:rRNA from 1 species
AUUAUUGGAAAUGAAAUGUUAUUCGUUUAUAAAGAUAUCUAGUUUUUUUAGAAAUAAAUUUAAUUUAAAAGUUUUUAAUUUUAUUAAUUAAUUAUAUUAAUUAAUAAGUUUAAAAAUUUUAAUAUUUUAAGGGAUAAGCUUUAAAAUAAAUUUUUAUAAAUUAAUAAAUAAUAAUUAAAAUUAUAUACAUAGAAUUAGUAAUUAUUAAAAAAUUUGUUAUAAAUUAUUUUAUAAAAUAUAUUAUUUAUUAUAAUUUUAAAUUUUUAUAAAAAUAUUUUUUAAAAUUUUAUAUAAAAAGUAAUAAUGAUAAAAUUAGUAUAUAUAUAUAUGUAAAUAUAAUUUAUUUUGAUAAGUUUAUAUAAAGAACUCGGCAAAUAUUUUACUCGCCUGUUUAACAAAAACAUGUCUUUUUGAGUUUUUUUUAAAGUCUAACCUGCCCAAUGAAUAAUUUAAUGGCCGCAGUAUUUUGACUGUGCAAAGGUAGCAUAAUCAUUAGUCUUUUAAUUGAAGGCUUGAAUGAAUGGUUGGACGAAGUAUAAUCUGUUUCAUUUAAAUUUAUUAUAGAAUUUUAUAUUUUAGUAAAAAAGCUAAAAUAUUUUUAAAAGACGAGAAGACCCUAUAAAUCUUUAUAAUUUAAAUUAUUUUUAUUUUUUAUAUUUAUUUUAUUUAAAUAAUUUAAAUUAUUUUGUUGGGGUGAUAUUAAAAUUUAAUAAACUUUUAAUUUAAUUAUUUCAUUAAUUUAUGUUUUAUUGAUCCAUUAAUAAUGAUUAAAAGAAUAAGUUACUUUAGGGAUAACAGCGUAAUUUUUUUGGAGAGUUCUUAUUGAUAAAAAAGUUUGCGACCUCGAUGUUGGAUUAAGAUAUAGGUUUAGGUGUA